CACGGCUAAACCAGCCUGAAAGUCGGGGCGAGGAUGUUGGACACAAAGGACAAAUCGGGGCGAAAAUUUCCACCCGGAACGAGACGGAAACUGCCUCGUUCGGGCUGAUUUUGAGGAAACGCCCUGGAAAAACAGGCAGAGGCCGCCGGUCUCGGCCAGGAGGACGCGUCAGGCGCCCUGUGAAGUGCUUGGGGAAUGCAUCAGCGCGUCGCAGGCCGAGCAGCUAUUGAAAAAACAAACGCGUGGCCCGUUGCGUGGUCCGGCACGACCUUGAGAGCUUCCCGAAAAGGGACAUUCAGGUGUCCUUCACGGGAGGAAAAAAUAAUAAUAAGGUUUGUUUGUGCUCUGCUGGGAAACGGGGCGCGAGCGGAACUGUUCUUCCGGGGGGGUUUCUCCCCAAAAGACCCCGGGCGCUGCGCAGGGACGCGGCCCGGCCUGCGGGUCCCAAUGUCACCCGGGGCGUUGUGCCCGUGUGGGUCCGGGGAGCCAUCCCUGUCCCUGUCCCCGUCCCCAUCGCCGUCCCUGUCCCCGUCCCCAUCCCUGUCCCCAUCCCAUCCCCGUCCCCAUCCCUGUCCCCAUCCCA
ensembl:lncRNA